AUUGAACGCUGGCGGCGUGCCUAACACAUGCAAGUCGAGCGGUAACAGGCGUAGCAAUACGUGCUGACGAGCGGCGAACGGGUGCGUAAUACAUGGGAAUCUGCCCUUUGGUGGGGAAUAACCCGGCGAAAGCCGGGCUAAUGCCGCAUGAGAUCCUCGGAUGAAAGCGGGGGACCGUAAGGCCUCGCGCCGAAGGAUGAGCCCAUGUCGGAUUAGCUAGUUGGUGGGGUAACGGCCCACCAAGGCGACGAUCCGUAGCUGGUCUGAGAGGACGGCCAGCCACACUGGGACUGAGACACGGCCCAGACUCCUACGGGAGGCAGCAGUGGGGAAUAUUGGACAAUGGGCGAAAGCCUGACCCAGCGACGCCGCGUGUGUGAAGAAGGCCUGCGGGUUGUAAAGCACUUUCGAUGGGAACGGAAAUAGUGCCGGGUUAACACCCCGGCCAAGCUGACGUUACUCAAUGAAGAAGCACCGGCUAACUCUGUGCCAGCAGCCGC
rnacentral:rRNA from 1 species